GAAUCCGGUGUGAAUCCGGAGCGGUCCCGCCACUGUGAGCGCCGACGGCGCGAGCCAGGGCA
rnacentral:ncRNA from 2 species